rnacentral:rRNA from 1 species
CCUACGGGAGGCAGCAGUAGGGAAUAUUGCUCAAUGGGGGAAACCCUGAAGCAGCAACGCCGCGUGGAGGAUGAAGGUUUUCGGAUUGUAAACUCCUGUUGUUAGAGAAGAGAAUGACGGUAGCUAAAGAAUAAGCACCGGCUAACUCCGUGCCAGCAGCCGCGGUAAUACGGAGGGUGCAAGCGUUACUCGGAAUCACUGGGCGGAAAGAGCGCGUAGGCGGGAUAGCAAGUCCGAUUUGAAAUCCUAGGGCUUAACCAUAGAACUGCAUUUGAAACGUUUAUUCUAGAGUAUGGGAGAGGUAGGUGGAAUUCUUGGUGUAGGGGUCAACUCCGU